AAAAAUCGGGUUUUAGAUUCGCAUUUAUUACGUAGUUACACCAUUACACGUCGUGAAAGGGAAAUAACGAAAUUAAUUUAGCCAAAUGCAAGUAAACUGAAAAAAUGGAAAUCUAAGCCAUAUCAUUGAUCAUAAAAACUGAAUGUCUGAUCUUUCGGCAAAUUUUAGACUUUCUAAAGCAGAUUAGAGACCUAAGCAGAUUAGUGGACUCUGGACAGAAGGUACUCAGUUGUAUAAAAACGGAGCAGUGAUUUUUAAAGUUGUUACUUUGUCCUCUAGUUCAGGAAAGUGGACUCAAGAGAAUGGCAAAGUGCUCGAAAAUUAUCCCUGGAAAGAAUACCUGUGAAGUCUUUAAAUAAUACUGAAACGUGCUUAUACUAAGUAUAAGGGAAGAGACUAUGAAAACGUCGGCGUAGAUAGCUGUCCAUCACAGGUAAUCGAACUGCUUCAUGAUUUUUACUUGUGAAGUCUUGAUUAUUAAGUUCGUUUAAUUAUUAAUGAUCAGAUUGCAACUGAAUUAGUGAUACAUCUUCUGGACUUAAAUAAAAAUUAUUUUUAUAUCUGGAAA